GGGGGGGGGAGGUUGUCCCUCAGCCAGGAUUGCGAGAGGGGGCAGACCAGGCUGAGGGACCCCACCAGUGCACA
rnacentral:pre_miRNA from 1 species